CUUUUCAAAAAACUGGCAUCGUUUGUCUUGGGGUUAGGGGGUACAAAUGGUACCCAUAGCUUAGAGGGUGCAAAUGGUACCCGUAAGAAGACUUGGUGGAAAUCAUGUUGGUCGUUUGGAUCGGCGAGAAUAAGACAAUUAUGGUUUUUUUUAAACAUUUUCUCUCCCGUAGUAAGGUAAAGCAUGUAUUUUCCUGGUAGCCGGUCUUACUUCAUGAAAAAACAGUCCGCUACCAGUGACUAGGUCCCCUCUCUUAUGGCGGUCAUUGCGGCUCAAUACCUUCCAGGGAUAUUCCUUUUCAGGGCGGUUGCAUGCGGAUAACAUGGUCCGUCGCGUGCGCAAAAUAGUUAAGGAGAUAGACAGUCUAGAGGCGUCGAAACUGCGCAAUAUAUACUCGCACGAAACGUUGCCAUUUUGCAAUUUGAAUCUGGGUUGUGCGUUUCUGGCAAAGCCUUCAGAUUCAAGUUGUUACGACAUUUACAAGCGCAUUA
rnacentral:lncRNA from 1 species